rnacentral:rRNA from 1 species
AUUGAACGCUGGCGGCAUGCCUUACACAUGCAAGUCGAACGGUAACGCGGGGCAACCUGGCGACGAGUGACGAACGGGUGAGUAAUGCAUCGGAACGUGCCCAGUAGUGGGGGAUAGCCCGGCGAAAGCCGGAUUAAUACCGCAUACGACCUACGGGUGAAAGGGGGGGAUCGCAAGACCUCUCGCUAUUGGAGCGGCCGAUGUCAGAUUAGGUAGUUGGUGGGGUAAAGGCCUACCAAGCCGACGAUCUGUAGCUGGUCUGAGAGGACGACCAGCCACACUGGGACUGAGACACGGCCCAGACUCCGACGGGAGGCAGCAGUGGGGAAUAUUGGACAAUGGGCGCAAGCCUGAUCCAGCCAUGCCGCGUGUGUGAAGAAGGCCUUCGGGUUGUAAAGCACUUUCAGUAGGGAGGAAGGGUGUUGUGUUAAUAGCACAGCAUUUUGACGUUACCUACAGAAGAAGCACCGGCUAACUCUGUGCCAGCCGCCGCGGUAAAAC